rnacentral:rRNA from 1 species
AGAUUCUUAAAGGAAUUGGCGGGAGCGCACAAGCGGAGGAACAUGUGGUUUAAUUCGAUGAUACGCGAGGAACCUUACCCGGGCUUGAAAUGCGGCGGACCGGCAGAGAGAUCUGCCUUCCCUUCGGGGCCGCCGUGUAGGUGCUGCAUGGUUGUCGUCAGCUCGUGCCGUGAGGUGUCGGCUUAAGUGCCAUAACGAGCGCAACCCUCAUCAUUAGUUACUAACAGGUCAUGCUGAGGACUCUAGUGAGACUGCCAUCGUAGGAUGCGAGGAAGGUGGGGAUGACGUCAAAUCAGCACGGCCCUUACGUCCGGGGCGACACACGUGUUACAAUGGGUGGUACAAAGGGCAGCUACCUGGCGACAGGAUGCUAAUCUCCAAAACCACUCUCAGUUCGGAUCGGAGUCUGCAACUCGACUCCGUGAAGCUGGAUUCGCUAGUAAUCGCGCAUCAGCCACGGCGCGGUGAAUACGUUCCCGGCGCCCUUGCACAACCGCCCGAAUCUGUCCCCGCU